UGGCCCGAGGUCCCAUGGGCUUGGUGAGUCCCAGCCUCUUCCCUUUCCAGCUGUGGGACCCCGCAGGGCCUUUAUUUUUUGUAAAAUGGAGGUAGUGAUACAUCUCUAGGAUGAGAGGCAAUGCUGUUUUUUAAAUAACAUUCAAUUGUUGUUGUCCCCAUCUUCCUGUAGGCUGCUCAGAUCUUGGCAUGUAUUUUUAUGUUCAUUUUCUGUGGCUUCUCCCGAGUUUGGUUUUUCUCAUUGUCUUAUUGGCUCCCCUAGAAGCAUAGCCUGAGGCAAGGAUUGGGUGCAAGGGGUUUAUUUGGGAGAGAAUCUCAGGAAGCACCAGUAAGAAGAGGGGAAGCAAGGCAGGGGAAGAAAGAAGUCUCCCAUAAAGGGGGCUCUUGAAUCAGUUACCCACUAGGCUCAGGUUUCUUGGGAGACUCUAGGGGUGGGCAGUGUGGAACUCUGUUCAUUGUUACCCCCUCCCCAAGGAAUGAGGAAGCAGGGUCUUCAUCCUCCACCUCCUAACCUGUCCACUCACGGAAGACAGUACUUACAGUUGGAGACAUGGGCCACACGGGUACUCUGAGUGCCAUGGGGACGUGGGUGGGCCUGACAGCCAGGGCUGGCUUCACAGGCAUGCAUCCUCAAACGGCUGUGUGCUUAGAAGGGCUGCACUUGGUUUAAUGCUCUACUGUCACCAUCUUGAAAUUUGGAAUCAUUGUUGGACAAGGAGUAUGCUCAUUUUGCACUGGGCUCCAUGGAUUAUGUAGUCGGUCCUGCUUCUAGUCCACGUAAACACCUGUGAGUUAACAUGCUUCAUGUGUGGUGGGUCGUCCAGGGCUACGGAGCAUUCCCUUGGUGGGGGUCUCCUUCUCCUAAACCCCAUCCUUGUCUCACUUAAAGUUGUUUCCUUUCUUGUCCUCCUAGGAACCAGUCCAUGGCCUGGAAAGUCUUUAGACCCUGGCUCUACCAUCUGAACUGGUAAGCCACUGCACUGUCCUGCUUUUUUCAUUUUUUUUAACUAUUUUAUUGAGGUAUCAAGGACCCUAUGUAGUGCAAACAGUUUGCACUUGACUACUAACCUAAGGAAACCCUGGUGGCAUACUGGUUAAGAGCUAUGGCUGCUAACCAAAAGGUCAGCAGUUUGAAUCCACCAGGUGCUCCUUGGAAACCCUAUGGGGCGGUUCUACCCUGUCCUGUAGGGUCGCUAUGAGUCGGAAUCAACUAGACGGCAAUGGGUUUUUUUUUUAACUCACCUGAAAGUUGGCCAUUUAAACCCACCCAGCAGUGCCAUAGAAGGAAGGGUUAGCAGUCUUCAUCCGUAAAGACUGUAGCCAACAUAGCCCUAUGGGGCAGCUCUACUCUUAAUAUGUGGGGCUGCCAUGAGUUGGGGAUCCACUUGAUGGCAAUGGUUUUUUUUUUAAAUCAAGGUAUCAACUAUACAGGAACAUGCACGAAACUUAAUUUUGUAGCUCUGUCAAUUGUAUACGUGCAUACACUGUGAACCCCCUCUCUGAUCAAGGUAGAGAAUGCUCUAUCACCCCAGCAGGCUCCCUCCUGUAUCCUCCAGCCAGGUUUGCCCCAGAGGUCACCGCUCUCCUGAUGCUGUCACCAUCGAUGAGUUCUACCUAUUCUCACACCUCACCUGAGUGGAAUCACGAGUCACACCACAGUGGAUGGCCUUGUGUAAGGAACAUAAAUGACUUGCUUUAAAAUGAGACUUAACAAAACAUUGAGUAAAUAAUACAGGAAGAUACCUAACAUUUAACAACAAUACAGUGACUGGGGAAUUAAUAGCCCAGACCCUGGAGCCAGACAGCAUUACCCCCAGGCCUUUGCCUGUCUAGACUCAAGGCUUACAGCAGGAAGCCACCCCUUCCUUCCUCCCUCUCCACCCCCUCACUCUUCUCCUCUUCCUCCUCCAUCGUCCAUGCUCUCUUUUUGUUUUUUACCCGAUCUAUCAACCUCCAGGCCCCCAGAUCCCAAUCAUCUUUGACAUCUCUUGUCACAUUCAAUCAUCAGUUCCUUUGUGUUCCCCUGAUUUUUGCCUCCGUCUCUUCUCUCUCUUCUCUGUUCCGACGUUGACUGUCCUGCUUCAGGCCCCCGUGGCAGCUCAGGCCCCCGUGGCAGCUCACUGGCACUGUUCUGAGCUGAUCCCUGCCUCCUCAGGCCCCCGUGGCAGCUCAGGCCCCCGUGGCAGCUCGCUGCCACUGUUCUGAGCUGAUCCCUGCCUCCUCAGGCCCCCGUGGCAGCUCAGGCCCCCGUGGCAGCUCAGACCCCCGUGGCAGCUCAGGCCCCCGUGGCAGCUCGCUGGCACUGUUCUGAGCCGAUCCCUGCCUCCCCGGCUUCUGUCCUCCACCCCACUGCACCCUCACCUCUGGUCCUGCCUUGAGUUGUUGUUGUUUUUAGUUGCCGUGGCGUCAACUCUGACUCAAUGGCAACCCCAUGUGUGCAGAACUGUUCCAUAAGGUUUUUAAUGGCUGCGACCUCUUGGAAGCAGACUGCCAGGCCUUACCUUUGGGGCAACUCUGGGUGAGUCUGAACCACCGACCUUUGGGUUAGUAGUUGGGGCUUAACAUUAAACCAGUCUCGUUGCUGUCGAGUUGAUUCCGACUCAUAGUGACCCUAUAGGACAGAGUAGAACUGCCCCAUAGGGUUUCUAAGGAGUGGCUGGUGGAUUUGAACUGCUGACCUUUUGGUUAGCAGCCUGAGCUUGUAAUCACCGCACCACCAGGGCUCCAGUGCUUAACAUAGCAGCUUCCAAAAGCUCUCCGCUGCUCCUGCUUAGAGGCCAGACCCUUGACUUUACCCACCUUCCACUCCGACCACACUGAACGUUUUGCUUUUCCUUGUUCACACACUUAUUUUCCUGGUUCCUAUCGCUGUGUAACAAACUACCCUUCAAGUCUGUAGCAUAAAAAAGUAACUAUCGCUUAUUUUCUCACAAAUCUGCAAUUGGACAGUGCCUGACAGGGACAGCUCGUCUCUGCUCCAUGUGGCAUCAGCAGAGUUGCCUGGGGCUGGCAGAGGCAUGUCCGAGAUGGCACACCACAUGGCUGACAGGCUGCUCAAGUCAGGAAGUGAAGCCUCGCCAACUUUGGAACACAAAUAUUUGCCAGUCAAGAAAACACUCGCCCGUCAAUCAAAAAAUAACCCACACAAUUUGGCAGAUGCUGCCUGCAGAUGCCUGAGGGAGUCUCUAUUUUGGGAGGGGCCAGGUGGCAGGAAGCCACCUCUCCCCUAUCCCCCAUCCCCUGUUCCUUCCCUUCCUACCUCAUUUUGUAGAUGAGGAAAGCAAGGUUCAGAGCAGUCUCUUGCCCUCGGUCACACAGCAUCCAGAGGGGCCGUUUAUUUAUUUUCUUAGAAAGCAUUUGACCUAAGUGAUUUAUUUAAUGAAGGUCACACGAAGUGUAAAUGACAACUUCUACUGCAGAUAAACAGCAGACAUAACUUUCAAGGCAACGUGAGUGGGCAGAACAUAAUUACGGUCCUAUUUCAUCCUACAUGGGGUAUGUUUCAGGACGGUUCGAGAGCAAAACAUGGGGUCAGCUGGGGGGUGGGGGGGGCCGGCUUUCCUGUUGGGAUACAGAACCCUGGAAUCCACGAGUCCUCUAUGCUUUUUUCUAGGGCCUAAUGAUCAGGGCUAGAACAGUUCCGCCCUAACACUCAUGGGGUUGUCAUGAGUUGGAAUCCACUCUUGGGCCACUGGUUAAUAAUCAGGCCUUCAAGUUCAACCCCAAUCCUUCUAGACUAGCAGCUUCACAUCCCAGAAAGCUUUUCUGGUCUAUUAUCACCUGAUCAAAACCACCUGCCCUUGUUAAAAAUUCAGCUUUCUGUCCCCACUCCAGACCCCUGAAUCAAAAUUCCCUGGGGGUUGGGGGGGUAGGGUGGGGCCUGGGAAUGAGCAUGCUGACACAAUCUUCUAGGGGAUUCUGACAUGGAGGGGAGUUUGGGAACCUCUGCUUUUAUGCUUUUCACACAUACCCACCCUACAGUGGGCAUCCUGUUUAAGGAGUCAAUACGUAUUGGCUGAGGUCCUGCAAAUCUGCCCUUUCCGUAAGUCUUGCCGAGGGUGCUUGCGAAAGUACAAACUCUCUUCCUUGCAGUUUCUGACCCAGAAGGCGUGGGGCAGGGUGGAGGAAUCUGCCAUCUUUAUAUACUUUUAACCAAUCUGUAGAAAGGCAAGGUCCUGGGUGGCGCAAACGGUUUGCGCACAACUACUAGGCUAAAGGUUGGCAGUUUGAACCCAUCCAGCAGAACAGUGGAAGAAAGGCUUGGCGAUCUGCUGCUGUAAAAAUUACAGCCAAGAAAACCCUACGAAGCAGUUCUACUCUGUAACACAUGGAGUCAACAUGAGUCAGAAUCAAUCCAUGGCAACGGGUUUGUUUUUUUCUUUUUGGUAGAGGACAGAAGAUUGGGAAGUAAAGGGAAACAAGCCUUGGCUCACGCCACUAGGGCCGAGUCUGUCCACGUCUCCCCGUGUCCCGAAGCCGGGUUCUGAACUUGGCCCAGUAAAUGCGUUUCCUCCUGGCCGGGUGCGUACGCCGUAGGUGCGCGCAGGCUGGGUGUGGACUCGUGCAGCCGCCGGGCGGGCUCAGGUGCGGUGAUCCUGGGACGCCCACAGGAAGGGCGGGGCGGCCCGCAGCGGGCUCACCAAUCGCUGAGCUCCUAACAACGGCGGUUUCCGCCUCCCACAGCCCCACGGAAAGAGCUGCGCUUCCAUAGGUCUUGCGGAGGCCUCUUCCGGCCGGGGGCGGGCCCCGCGCUGUGGCGGGAAACGGCUUCCCUGGUACCUCUUCGGGGACACUGAGGGGCGCGAAUGACGUCCUGACCCCGGGGUCGCCCAGCGCCACCAUGGACGCGGCCGAGGUGGAAUUUCUGGCCGAGAAGGAGCUGGUGACCAUUAUCCCUAACUUCAGCCUGGACAAGAUCUACCUCAUUGGGGGAGACCUGGGGCCUUUUAACCCUGGUUUACCAGUGGAAGUGCCUCUGUGGUUGGCAAUUAACCUGAAACAAAGACAGAAAUGUCGGUUGAUACCUCCUGAAUGGAUGGAUGUAGAGAAGUUGGAGAAGAUGAGGGAUCAUGAGCGGAAGGAGGAAACUUUUACCCCGAUGCCUAGCCCUUACUACAUGGAACUCACCAAACUCCUGUUAAAUCACGCUUCAGACAACAUCCCUAAAGCAGACGAGAUCCGCACCCUGAUCAAGGACACGUGGGACACUCGGAUGGCGAAACUCCGGGUCUCUGCUGACAGCUUUGUGAGGCAGCAGGAGGCACACGCCAAGCUGGACAACCUGACCUCCAUGGAGAUCAGCACCAGUGGGGCAUUCCUCACUCAGGCGCUCAACUACAUGUACAAGCUCCGCACCAGCCUCCAGCCCCUGGACAGCACCCAGUCCCAGGACUUCUAGAGCAAGGCCUCCGAUCAGUAAAGGCUGUGUAGCCGGUGGCCGGUGGGCUGCUGGGUGCCAUGUGAGUGCUUCCGGAAAUGAUGGAGAGGAGAGCAACAAGAGAGCAAGGCUGCCGUUGCUGACCCCCAGUGGCCCUGGCCAGAACAGCAGUGCCCCAGAGGCUCCUCGCUGUAGCCCAGCUUCCAGUGUUCCAGGCAGCAAACAGCUGGGUCCACACAGAAGACAGUCCAAGGAAAGAAGCCUCUUGCACCAGGAACCACCCCACUCCACAGCAAGUUUGCCCAACAUCGUACUAAUGACUUGUUCCCUCAGUGCACCUAAAAUAAGCCCCAACUCACAAAAGACUGUUUGGGGUACUGUUUUCCCAAAGUUUAUUUUUAAGGAGCACGCAUGUACAUUUGGCCCAAGUAGUCUGGGGCAAGGCCUGAGGGACAGAGGGGCAGAGGCUACAGGCAGCGGCCAGGCCCCAGGGCCCUCUCCCCACCUGGCCGGGGAGCAUCGUUUGACCACAGGCCACAAAGCUGAGAAACCCAAUGCCCACUGCACCUCAGGGUCAGCAGAGUACAAAAGGGGACCAUAUCAAGAAAAUGUUGGUUCUUAAGUAAACAGCAAAGGAAUAAAACCUGUUAGCAGAAUAAAUAUUUCAUGCACCGGAGCUGAGCGUUCAGUGGUUUUCUAGCUCAGAGCACAAGGACCGCCUGUCGUAAUGCGGAGUUCAUGUUCCUGUGAUGAGUACUGGAGCUCCAGCAGACACCUUGCCUCCUGGUAGCACCUGGCCCGCUGAGGCUGUGCAGGUUACAGGCAGAGGAGGGCACCCGCCAAGGACCAGUCUCUGCUUCCCUGGGUGAGGACUCUGAAGGGCAGGGGUAGCCUCACCCAGCAGACUGGACUAAACCCAGACAGAAGCUAAGCUACUCCCGUCGCGACUCCCAGACCACUGGCAGUCAGGGCAGCUGCCUGGAGGGGCUGGGUGCCGCCCCCCAGCACAGACCUGUGAGAACACAGGAGGAGAGGAGGGACCCACACACGAGGACUUUGUGAACCAGAGUGCCUAGUAUUUGCUGUCCUGGGUAGCACCACUGGGCAUUGAGUGGGAAAGGAGCUUAGGAACCUUUCUGCUUGUCCCUGGUGUGCAAAGAUGGGGAAACUGAGGCCCAGAGAGGGGUUGUGGUCCCUGAGUCCCCAGCCAGCCCCCCUGCUGUGGGUCUUAGGCCACCCUAUUCACAGGAGGCCUGGAGGAGUGGGUAAGCCCCAGGCCAGAGCUGCCCGGGCUGCUGUUCUUGGCCCAAGGCAGCCAAGAGCUUCAAGAUGGAAAAGAGGGCCUCCCAGGAGUCUUUUAUCACGGGGUUUGAGAAAUGGGUAUAUUUUCGUUAUAAAAACAAUAAAGCUAACUUUUUAUUUCAAUAAGAACAAAAGGAAGCCCUGCUGCCAUUAAAAAUUUAAAAAGUCCAGGCUGCGAAGCCUGGGAAGGACAGAUACUGAUCGGAACAGAAAGCUCCUUCCUCAUGUUCUUUGGGCAGCCCACUGGGGCCUGGGCUUAGCUGCCUCGUUUCCCUCUCAGAGUCUCAGCUUCCUCAUCAGCAAAGCGGGGUUAUAACAAGAAGGCGAAAAGAAGUGACUCAGGCAAGAACACAGCAGGACACUAGGCAAACAGCAGGUGCUCAAUAGAUGCUGCCAGCACUCGACGCCCACAUCCAGCCUCACCUGGUGCUCUCAGGCCGGUGCUCUACCUCCGCUGGCAUCGGGGGGCGGCCCAUGUCCAGGUGCUGCUCCAGCACCUGCUGCCGGAACUCUGACACCUGCGACUGCCGGUCCUCCUUCUCCUGCCGUAGCCGCCGCUGUCGCGCCAGCCACUUCUCCUCCUCGUUGGUGCGCUGAAUGAGCAGUGCUGCGGCUG